AUCCCGUGGUGAGGACACGCUAGGAUGUACUCCUGAAGUCUCUCCCAAGCUUCAGUAAUAGACUCAUUAGACGCCUGCUGGAAACUGGAGAUUCUUCCUCGAUGAGCAU